rnacentral:rRNA from 1 species
CAUUAAGAGUAAGGGUGCUCAGCGCCCGACCUCCAACCCUUUGUUGUUAAAACUACCUUGUUGCUUUGGCGGGACCGCUCGGUCUCGAGCCGCUGGGGAUUCGUCCCAGGCGAGCGCCCGCCAGAGUUAAACCAAACUCUUGUUAUUUAACCGGUCGUCUGAGUUAAAAUUUUGAAUAAAUCAAAACUUUCAACAACGGAUCUCUUGGUUCUCGCAUCGAUGAAGAACGCAGCGAAAUGCGAUAAGUAAUGUGAAUUGCAGAAUUCAGUGAAUCAUCGAAUCUUUGAACGCACAUUGCGCCCCUUGGUAUUCCGAGGGGCAUGCCUGUUCGAGCGUCAUUACACCACUCAAGCUAUGCUUGGUAUUGGGUGCCGUCCUUAGUUGGGCGCGCCUCAAAGACCUCGGCGAGGCCUCACCGGCUUUAGGCGUAGUAGAAUUUAUUCGAACGUCUGUCAAAGGAGAGGACUUCUGCCGACUGAAACCUUUUAUUUUUCUAGGUUGACCUCGGAUCAGGUAGGGAUACCCGCUGAACUUAAGCAUAUCA